CCACGGAAGUUUUCAGAGAUGAGAAUGUGCCUUCGGGAACCGUGAGACAGGUGCUGCAUGGCUGUCGUCAGCUCGUGUUGUGAAAUGUUGGGUUAAGUCCCGCAACGAGCGCAACCCUUAUCCUUUGAGCGUGUUCGCAAAGAAGAGCAAGUGAUCGGGAUUUUUCAUCCGGACUAGCGAUAUGCCGCAGGUUUUUUUAAGCUAAGGGGUACACGGCUGCAGAAUUCCGCUACAAUCUGCGCCACUAUUCUUCCCAUG
rnacentral:rRNA from 1 species